AGCUCCAAUAGCGUAUAUUAAAGUUGUUGCAGUUAAAAAGCUCGUAGUCGGAUUUCGGGUCGGGCCGAGCGGUCUGCCGAUGGGUAUGCACUGUUUGGCGCGGCCUUCUUUCCGGAGACCGCGGCUACUCUUAACUGAGCGGGCGUGGGAGACGGAUCGUUUACUUUGAAAAAAUCAGAGUGUUUCAAGCAGGCAGCUCGCUCUUGCAUGGAUUAGCAUGGGAUAAUUGAAUAGGACUCUGGUGCUAUUUUGUUGGUUUCGAACACCGGAGUAAUGAUUAACAGGGACAGUCAGGGGCACUCGUAUUCCGUCGAGAGAGGUGAAAUUCUCAGACCAAUGGAAGACGAACCACUGCGAAAGCAUUUGCCAGGGAUGUUUUCA
rnacentral:rRNA from 1 species